UUUCCCAUUUAAUUGCUGCCAUGCUGUUUUCAAAUCGUAUGAGCAGUUAUACGCGUGGGAUAGAUUACUUUUAGUCCCCCUAUAAAUGUUGAGGCAGUAAAUGUCUUUGACUUUGUUGAUGGACUUGAACACA
rnacentral:snoRNA from 1 species